GACAGAGGGUGCAAACGUUGUUCGGAAUCACUGGGCGUAAAGCGCACGUAGGCGGACUCUUAAGUCGGUGGUGAAAUCCUGGAGCUCAACUCCAGAACUGCCUUCGAUACUGAGAGUCUCGAGUCCGAGAGAGGUGAGUGGAACUGCGAGUGUAGAGGUGAAAUUCGUAGAUAUUCGCAAGAACACCAGUGGCGAAGGCGGCUCACUGGCUCGGUACUGACGCUGAGGUGCGAAAGCCAGGGGAGCAAACGGG
rnacentral:rRNA from 1 species